AUGGGACCCCAAGUCAGGCGGGAUCACCCGCUGAGGUUAAGCAUAUCAAUAAGCGGA
rnacentral:rRNA from 1 species